AAGCUGCCUUUCGAUGUGGGCGGAAUGUAAGAAUGUUCGUGUAUUCCGUGCAUUGCAUGCACGUCGAUGGGGGUAAAAAUUAAUGUGGGGACCUCCGCUACGACGUGCCUCAUGACCAGAUGGCGUUUUGAAGCUUAAAGUCCGCCCAGUAGUUAUUUACUUUUUUUUUUGAGCAAGCUUGCCGGAAGUUGGGUUUGCUUGACAACUUCCGUCCCCUCAGUUUGGAAAUGGCGUUCGAACAGCGGAGGGCGUUGGCCCGUAACCUUGUCUUCAGGGAUGUAAGCACUGUCUUUCUUUAUGGGUAUUUGUGUGUUUUAACGAUGUUUUACGAGAAGACAAAUCGGCAGUAUCAGCGCAAGAAGAAACGAGCUUUAGAAAAGCUGUGGAUUCGAGCCGGCGUUUGUGGAAGGACCUGAGCACUACUGGCCAUAGGCGGAAACAGACAUAGAUGGAAUACGAGCCCGGUGCAACCUACGCCUGUCAGUUUCGGGGAGCCCUGUGGCUGCAAGCAUUUGUAAAUUUUUUGAACGUACUAGGUAUGUCUACUGAGUUAAAGUUUGAGGACUGCUCAAAUGAGCCUGGAGUGAAAUGCGAGGCAGAAGGGACGUGGUUCGUAGUUCGAACAGCGCGGGGAUGGACAGCCGGAUCAAGCUACGUUUCUCAGCAGACGAGGUCGCAACCUUUUCGAAGGCGCCAAUAUUUGACAGAAAGAAUGCUGGCUGCUCGUGCAUGAAGGAUUUCUCCGUGGCUCGUGGUUCGAACAACGGGGUGACGAACAACCGAGCAAAAUUCCGCUUCCCCGGUGACAAGACUUUUCCGUGGCUCAUGAUGCAAACAACGGGGGGAUGGACAAGCCGGGCCAGUUUGCCGCUUCCCAGCAGACAAGAAGCCACUCCGAAAUACGAACACCGAAUCAGACGGAUGCACAGUGAAGAUGUGUGUACGGUGGUGUCACGAGAGCGAAGACAAUGUGCGAUGCUUGUCGAGGGAACAAUGCUGGUGACAGGUGUGUGCAGAGAGCCUUCAAGACGCUGCAUAUAUUCUUUCACCUCUUUGGACUUAAUUGUCUCUGGACGUACAAGUUAACAGCGAAUGUGUCGUCACUGGAAGUAACAACAAGGGCCACAAUUCUCCCAAAGAAUACUGACGAUAGAGAGAUGAUUGGUGUGCAAGCUGCCCAUGUCAAAUCAUAAGACGCUCAAUGGACACCACAAUGACAACAGGAUGAAACCGUAAAUCGCAGCUUCGAAGGAUCUGUGAGCAUGAAUUGGGCUUGCUCACGUACGGUGCAGAAACUUGGAGGCUUACGAAAAGGGUUCUACUUAAAGUGCGGACGACGCAACGAGCUAUGGAAAGACGAAUGAUGGGUGUAACGUUAAGGGAUAAGGAAAGAGUAGAUUGGGUGAGGGAACAAACGCGAGUUAAUGACAUCUUAGUUGAAAUCAAGAAAAAGAAAUGGGCAUGGGCAGGACAUGUAAUGAGGAGGGAAGAUAACCGAUGGUCAUUAAGGGUUACGGACUGGAUUCCAAGGGAAUUGAAGCGUAGAAGGGGCGGCAGAAAGUUAGGUGGGCGGAUGAGAUUAAGAAGUUUGCAGGCACGGCAUGGCCAUGAUUAGUACAUGACCAGGGUAGAUGGAGAAGUAUGGGAGAGGCCUUUGCCCUGCAGUGGGCGUAACCAGACUGAUAAUGAUGAUGAUAAUGAUGAUGAUGAUGAUGAUAUUUUAAUUUAUUUUCUUCGUUUAUUGACGCAAUGUUUGAAGAAGUCCUUGUAAGCACUGUUGUCUCCAUAACGUUCCUAGCGAGUUCUCCACUUGUGUCAAAAGCUUUUUAUGGCCGCACCUGAACGCUAAAUGUGCUGCUGAAAUAUAAAGAACAGACGAUAUGUGCUGAAAAUUUUGACCUAACUUUAGCACUACUUGCCUCUCGCCAAUGUAUUAUGAACAGAAUGGGACAACAUUGUAGCACCUUCUUUCUGACACUUCAUCUUUGCCGAGUACUUUUCAUGUUUCUUUUAAUUUUAGCUGAAAUCAUCGAACGCAGACUAUACACGUAUAGCGUAAAACACGCCAAGCAGCACUGCACGCAACUACAGCACAAAAAUAAAUAGCCUAGCAUAAACAUCGUUGUCUGAAAUAGCCUAGCAUAAAUAUCGUUGUCUGAAGCUUCGUUCUACCUGCUUUGAGCGGCACGCUGAACACGACGGGAAAAAUUGGUUCGAUUUUGCUUUUAAUUCCAUUAAAUAAGUGGCUACCUGUGCUUCUAUAUGUUGCAAACUCAGUGACUGGGAGCAUGAAGGCCACCUGACACCUGACCUGCGCGAAAAUUGUGAACGUGUACCGCUGCCUUUAGCAUUGACAAUAAACAAUCUUAGCAUGCUUGUUUGAACUAUUAAUUGUGCCCCAGUUAUAGAUUAUAGAAUAGACAGAGUAGGCAGGCGUUGUGCCCCUCCCCGUGGCAGUUAGCUUGCUCCCUCCCUGUUUGCUUUGUGUGUUUGUAUGUUUCAAUAAUAAUAAUAAUAAUAAUAAUAAUAAUAAUAAUAAUAAUAUAAAAGAGAUAAAUUGAACGAAUUCAUUGCAGACUACCACGAGAAAUCACUGUCGUAGCGAUGACAAAUGCAACGAACCAGCCCUCCUUUGUACAGAUUCAAUUUUAUUACAGUCGCACACUUUAUGUGGGUUCCAGAUGCAUGAAGCGUACAUGAAGCGUCUAAUACAGGGCGAAUGAGUGCUUUAUACGUUGGUAAUUUAGUAUAUUUUGGCGAUUUAGAUAAUGUUCGUCCUAAGUAACCAAAUUUUUUUGGUGCUAUAUAUGUGAUGUGAUCAAUACGCUGUAACCUACCUUGUAAUACCUACCUUGUAAAUAUUGACAAGGUAUUUGUACAUCUGU